UACGAAGGGGGCUAGCGUUGUUCGGAAUCACUGGGCGUAAAGGGCGCGUAGGCGGCUUUAUAAGUCGGGGGUGAAAGCCUGUGGCUCAACCACAGAAUUGCCUUCGAUACUGUAGAGCUUGAGACCGGAAGAGGUAAGUGGAACUGCGAGUGUAGAGGUGAAAUUCGUAGAUAUUCGCAAGAACACCAGUGGCGAAGGCGGCUUACUGGUCCGGUUCUGACGCUGAGGCGCGAAAGCGUGGGGAACAAACAGG
rnacentral:rRNA from 1 species